GAUGAACGCUAGCUACAGGCUUAACACAUGCAAGUCGCAGGGUAACAUGAGGAAAGCUUGCUUUCCUUGAUGACGACUGGCGCACGGGUGAGUAACGCGUAUCCAACCUUCCCAUAACUACGGGAUAACCCGUUGAAAGACGGCCUAAUACCGUAUGAUAUCGUUUGCUGACAUCAAAUAACGAUUAAAGGUUUAGCGGUUAUGGAUGGGGAUGCGUCUGAUUAGCUUGUUGGCGGGGUAACGGCCCACCAAGGCGACGAUCAGUAGGGGUUCUGAGAGGAAGGUCCCCCACAUUGGAACUGAGACACGGUCCAAACUCCUACGGGAGGCAGCAGUGAGGAAUAUUGGUCAAUGGGCGAGAGCCUGAACCAGCCAAGUAGCGUGCAGGAUGACGGCCCUAUGGGUUGUAAACUGCUUUUAGGUGGGGAUAAAGUGCGUGACGUGUCAUGCAUUGCAGGUACCACAUGAAUAAGGACCGGCUAAUUCCGUG
rnacentral:rRNA from 1 species